ACGUGAGAGCAGUCAUGGCUUGAUCACUAAGCUCCAUGUUUCUUCCACCUAACCGGUCAACCAUAUCAGGUAUUGAUUCAUAGCCCCUAAAAUCUUGCUCUUUCGGAUCCUCAAGCUUCAUUCUCAUCUUCUCAGCUUGACGACUCGCGACCUCUUGAGCCAAUGUCCAGUCAUAGAACCUUCGAGUCUCUUCAUCGCUCAAAACAUUGUACACUUCUCUUAGUUUCAUGAACUUGUCUGAAGCUGUUUUAAGUGGUAAUGAAGUUGUGUCGGGAUGAUACUCUUUUGAUAAUCUUCGGUACGCAGAUUUUAUCUCUUCUAGAUCAGCAUCCGUUGAAACACCUAAGAAUCUGAAAAUUAUUACAGUUACAAAUUAUGAAAAAGAAAAAAAAAAAGAUAUGUAAUAAGAAAAUCUUUGUUUUUGCUAACUGGUAAUGAGAAUCAAAAGAGUCUUUGAUUAGUUCUGCAAAUUUUUCAUCACUAAGGAGAUUGGUUUUGUCCUCAUCAACGGAUUUGGUCGGGUCGGAUCUUCCUCCGAUCCAGCCUUCGUCCGGGCU
rnacentral:lncRNA from 1 species